AGUGAACGCUGGCGGUAGGCCUAACACAUGCAAGUCGAACGGCAGCACAGUAAGAGCUUGCUCUUACGGGUGGCGAGUGGCGGACGGGUGAGGAAUACAUCGGAAUCUACUUUUUCGUGGGGGAUAACGUAGGGAAACUUACGCUAAUACCGCAUACGACCUACGGGUGAAAGCAGGGGAUCUUCGGACCUUGCGCGAUUGAAUGAGCCGAUGUAGGAUUAGCUAGUUGGCGGGGUAAAGGCCCACCAAGGCGACGAUCCGUAGCUGGUCUGAGAGGAUGAUCAGCCACACUGGAACUGAGACACGGCCCAGACUCCUACGGGAGGCAGCAGUGGGGAAUAUUGGACAAUGGGCGCAAGCCUGAUCCAGCCAUACCGCGUGGGUGAAGAAGGCCUUCGGGUUGUAAAGCCCUUUUGUUGGGAAAGAAAAGCAGCAGGUUAAUACCCCGCUGUUCUGACGGUACCCAAAGAAUAAGCACCGGCUAACCUCGUG
rnacentral:rRNA from 1 species